rnacentral:rRNA from 1 species
AGGGCACCACCAGGAGUGGAGCCUGCGGCUUAAUUUGACUCAACACGGGGAAACUCACCCGGCCCGGACACCGUAAGGAUUGACAGAUUGAUAGCUUUGUCAUGAUUCGGUGGAUGGUGGUGCAUGGCCGUUCUUAGUUCGUGGAGCGAUUUGUCUGGUUUAUUCCGAUAACGAGCGAGACUCUAGCCUACUAAAUAGUUCGCACAUUGUCUCUGUGUGUGUGACUUCUUAGAGGGAUUUUCGGUGUUCAGCCGCACGAAAUUGAGCAAUAACAGGUCUGUGAUGCCCUUAGAUGUCCGGGGCUGCACGCGCGCUACACUGGCAAAAUCAGCGUGCUUGUCCUUCCCCGAAAGGGGUUGGUAAACCCUUGAAAAUUUGCCGUGAUUGGGAUUGGAGAUUGCAAUUAUUUUCCAUGAACGAGGAAUUCCAAGUAAGUGCGAGUCAUCAGCUCGCGUUGAUUACGUCCCUGCCCUUUGUACACACCGCCCGUCGCUGCCCGGGACUGAGCCAUUUCGAGAA